rnacentral:rRNA from 1 species
GACGACGCUGGCGGCGUGGAUAGGCAUGCAAGUCGAACGGUAUCAUCCUUCGGGGGUGAGAGAGUGGCGAACUGGUGAGUAACACGUAGGUUAUCUACCCUCAAGACGGGGACAACCCAGGGAAACUUGGGCUAAUACCGGAUGUGAGCAACUUUUAGUUGUUUGAAAGGUGGCGUAAGCUGUCGCUUGGGGAUGAGCCUGCGUCCUAUUAGUUAGUUGGUGAGGUAACGGCUCACCUAGGCAAUGAUAGGUAGGCGGCCUUAACGGGUGGUCGCCCACACUGGGAUUGAGAUACGGCCCAGACUCCUACGGGAGGCAGCAGUCGAGAAUAGUCUACAAUGGUCGGAAGACUGAUAGUGCGACGCCGCGUGAACGAUGAAUCCCUUCGGGGUGUAAAGUUCUUUUAUAUGUGAGCAGUGCUUCUUAUAUUAACAGUAUGGGGAGAGAGAUAUUAGCAUAUGAAUAAGCAACGGCUAACUCCGUG